rnacentral:tRNA from 1 species
AUUAUUUUGGCAGACUAGUGCAAUGGAUUUAGAAUCUUUUAAAGUGGUACAUAAACCACAAAUAAUA